rnacentral:rRNA from 1 species
GACGAACGCUGGCGGCGUGCUUAACACAUGCAAGUCGAACGGAAAGGCCCUGCUUUUGUGGGGUGCUCGAGUGGCGAACGGGUGAGUAACACGUGAGUAACCUGCCCUUGACUUUGGGAUAACUUCAGGAAACUGGGGCUAAUACCGGAUAGGAGCUCCUGCUGCAUGGUGGGGGUUGGAAAGUUUCGGCGGUUAGGGAUGGACUCGCGGCGUAUCAGCUUGUUGGUGGGGUAGUGGCUUACCAAGGCUUUGACGGGUAGCCGGCCUGAGAGGGUGACCGGCCACAUUGGGACUGAGAUACGGCACAGACUCCUACGGGAGGCAACAGGGGGGAAUAUUGCACAAUGGGCGGAGGCCUGAUGCAGCAGCGCCGCGUGCGGGAUGACGGCCUUCGGGUUGUAAACCGCUUUCGCCUGUGACGAAGCGUGAGUGACGGUAAUGGGUAAAGAAGCACCGGCUAACUACGUGC